GACGAACGCUGGCGGCGUGCUUAACACAUGCAAGUCGAACGGAAAGGCCCUGCUUUUGUGGGGUGCUCGAGUGGCGAACGGGUGAGUAACACGUGAGUAACCUGCCCUUGACUUUGGGGUAACUUCAGGAAACUGGGGCUAAUACCGGAUAGGAGCUCCUGCUGCAUGGUGGGGGUUGGAAAGUUUCGGCGGUUGGGGAUGGACUCGCGGCUUAUCAGCUUGUUGGUGGGGUAGUGGCUUACCAAGGCUUUGACGGGUAGCCGGCCUGAGAGGGUGACCAGCCACAUUGGGACUGAGAUACGGCCCAGACUCCUACGGGAGGCAGCAGUGGGGAAUAUUGCACAAUGGGCGGAAGCCUGAUGCAGCAACGCCGCGUGCGGGAUGACGGCCUUCGGGUUGUAAACCGCUUUCGCCUGUGACGAAGCGUGAGUGACGGUAAUGGGUAAAGAAGCACCGGCUAACUACGUG
rnacentral:rRNA from 1 species